AUUGAACGCUGGCGGCAGGCCUAACACAUGCAAGUCGAACGAGUGGGGGACGGGAGAGUCAUGUCGGGGAAACUGCCUGAUGGAUGGGGUAACCUACUGGAACCGGUACCUAAUCCCGCAAACCAUCCGCUGUUCCCAGGUUGCAUUAGCUAGUUGGUGGGGUAACGGCUCACCAAGGCAACGAUCCCUAGCUGGUCUGAGAGGAUGACCAGCCACACUGGAACUGAGAAACGGUCCAGACUCCUACGGGAGGCAGCAGUGGGGAAUAUUGCGCAAUGGGCGAAAGCCUGACGCAGCCACGCCGCGUGAAUGAAGAAGGCCUUCGGGUUGUAAAGUACUUUCAGCGGGGAGGCGGUACCUGCAGAGAAAGCACCGGCUAACUCCGUGCCAGCAGCCGCGGUAAUAC
rnacentral:rRNA from 1 species